rnacentral:miRNA from 1 species
CUUCCAGUAGCACCUUAGAGACCAACUAAGUUUGUUAUUGGUAUGAGCUUUCAUGUGCACACGAAAGCUCAUACCAAUAACAAACUUAGUUGGUCUCUAAGGUGCUACUGGAAG